rnacentral:rRNA from 1 species
AUUGAACGCUGGCGGCAGGCUUAACACAUGCAAGUCGAGCGGGGGAAGGUAGCUUGCUACCGGACCUAGCGGCGGACGGGUGAGUAAUGCUUAGGAAUCUGCCUAUUAGUGGGGGACAACAUCUCGAAAGGGAUGCUAAUACCGCAUACGUCCUACGGGAGAAAGCAGGGGAUCUUCGGACCUUGCGCUAAUAGAUGAGCCUAAGUCGGAUUAGCUAGUUGGUGGGGUAAAGGCCUACCAAGGCGACGAUCUGUAGCGGGUCUGAGAGGAUGAUCCGCCAGACUGGGACUGAGACACGGCCCAGACUCCUACGGGAGGCAGCAGUGGGGAAUUUUGGACAAUGGGGGAACCCUGAUCCAGCCAUGCCGCGUGUGUGAAGAAGGCUUUAUGGUUGUAAAGCACUUUAAGCGAGGAGGAGGCUACUUUAGUUAAUACCUAGAGAUAGUGGACGUUACUCGCAGAAUAAGCACCGGCUAACUCUGUGCCAGCCGCCGCGGUAA